rnacentral:rRNA from 1 species
AGUGAACGCUGGCGGUAGGCCUAACACAUGCAAGUCGAACGGCAGCACAGUAAGAGCUUGCUCUUACGGGUGGCGAGUGGCGGACGGGUGAGGAAUACAUCGGAAUCUACUUUUUCGUGGGGGAUAACGUAGGGAAACUUACGCUAAUACCGCAUACGACCUACGGGUGAAAGCAGGGGAUCUUCGGACCUUGCGCGAUUGAAUGAGCCGAUGUCGGAUUAGCUAGUUGGCGGGGUAAAGGCCCACCAAGGCGACGAUCCGUAGCUGGUCUGAGAGGAUGAUCAGCCACACUGGGACCGAGACACGGUCCAGACUCCUACGGGAGGCAGCAGUGGGGAAUAUUGGACAAUGGGCGCAAGCCUGAUCCAGCCAUACCGCGUGGGUGAAGAAGGCCUUCGGGUUGUAAAGCCCUUUUGUUGGGAAAGAAAAGCAGCAGGUUAAUACCCCGCUGUUCUGACGGUACCCAAAGAAUAAGCACCGGCUAACUUCGUG